UGGGGAAUAUUGCACAAUGGGGGAAACCCUGAUGCAGCAACGCCGCGUGCGGGAUGACGGCCUUCGGGUUGUAAACCGCUUUCAGCCAUGACGAAGCUUUUGUGACGGUAGUGGCAGAAGAAGCACCGGCUAACUACGUGCCAGCAGCCGCGGUGAUACGUAGGGUGCGAGCGUUGUCCGGAAUUAUUGGGCGUAAAGAGCUUGUAGGCGGUUUGUCGCGUCGAAAGUGUAAACUCAGUGCUUAACGCUGAGCCUGCUUUCGAUACGGGCUGGCUAGAGGAAGGUAGGGGAGAAUGGAAUUCCCGGUGGAGCGGUGGAAUGCGCAGAUAUCGGGAGGAACACCAGUGGCGAAGGCGGUUCUCUGGACCUUUCCUGACGCUGAGAAGCGAAAGCGUGGGUAGCAAACAGG
rnacentral:rRNA from 1 species